rnacentral:rRNA from 1 species
UACGGAGGGUGCGAGCGUUGUCCGGAAUCAUUGGGCGUAAAGGGCGCGUAGGUGGCGCGGCAAGCGUGCGGUGAAAGCUCGGGGCUCAACCCCGAGUCGGCCGUGCGAACUGCUGUGCUUGAGCACUGUAGAGGCAGGCGGAAUUCCGGGUGUAGCGGUGGAAUGCGUAGAGAUCCGGAGGAACGCCAGUGACGAAGGUGGCCACCUGGCCCUCGCCUGACACUGAGACGCGAAAGCGUGGGGAGCGAACCGG